UACAGAGGUCUCAAGCGUUGUUCGGAUUCAUUGGGCGUAAAGGGUGCGUAGGCGGCGCGGUGAGUCGGGUGUGAAAUCUCGGAGCUUAACUCCGAAACUGCAUUCGAUACUGCCGUGCUUGAGGACUGGAGAGGAGACUGGAAUUUACGGUGUAGCGGUGAAAUGCGUAGAUAUCAGGAGGAACACCCGUGGCGAAAGCGGCUCUCUGGGACGGUACUGACGCUGAGACGCGAAAGCGUGGGGAGCAAACAGG
rnacentral:rRNA from 1 species